UCAAGAUUAUAAGGGCACGUGGUGGAUGCCUAGGCGAUGAGAGGCGAUGAAGGACGUGGACAGCUGCGAUAAGCUACGGGGAGCCGCUCACAGGCUUUGAUCCGUAGAUCUCCGAAUGGGGUAACCCACCUGGCAGUGAUGCUGGGAACUCGACGACUGAAUUCAUAGGUUCUCGAGAGCGAACCCGGGGAAGUGAAACAUCUCAGUACCCGGAGGAAAAGAGACCAAGUCAGGAACUCUCCUAGUAGCGGCGAGCGAACGGGGAUCAGGCCAAACCCGACGUAGUGAUACGGCGGGGGUUGUAGGGUCCGUGAUGUGGGACGAGGAUCGCGAGAAGAACAGGCAUGGAAAGGCCGGCCAUAGAAGGUGACAGCCCUGUAGACGUAGCGAGAGACGCCCUAACGGAUACCUGAGUACCGCAGGACACGUGCAAUCCGGCGGGAAUCCGGCGGGACCAUCCGCCAAGCCUAAGUACUACUCAUCGACCGAUAGUGAACGAGUACCGUGAGGGAAAGGUGAAAAGCACCCCGAGAGGGGAGUGAAAUAGAACCUGAAACCACGUCUGCCUACAAGCACUGGGAGCACGAUGGAGCAAUCCCGUGUGACCGGGUACCUUUUGCAUAAUGGGCCUGCGAGUUGCGUUUCGUGGCGAGGUUAAGCCGAGAGGUGGAGCCGGAGCGAAAGCGAGUCCGAAUAGGGCGGUAGUCGCGGGACGCAGACCCGAAGCCCGACGAUCUAUCCAUGGCCAGGUUGAAGCGCGGGUAAUACCGCGUGGAGGACCGAACCCACCUUAGUUGAAAAUAAGGGGGAUGAGCUGUGGAUCGGAGUGAAAGGCUAAUCAAGUCGGGGGAUAGCUGGUUCUCCCCGAAAUAUAUUGAGGUAUAGCCUCGGAUGAAUACCCGCGGGGGUAGAGCACUGGAUGGGCUAGGGGUCUUACCGGAUUACCAAACCCAACCAAACUCCGAAUACCGCGGAGUACUGUCCGGGAGUCAGGCAGCGGGAGAUAAGUUCCGUUGCCGAGAGGGAAAGAGCCCAGAUCGACAGCUAAGGCCCCAAAAUCCACACUUAGUGUUAAAGGAUGUGGGGGCGCUCUGACAGCCAGGAGGUUGGCUUAGAAGCAGCCACCCUUUAAAGAAAGCGUAAUAGCUCACUGGUCGAGCGAACCCGCGCCGAAAAUAUAACGGGGCUCAAGUGUGGUGCCGAAGCUUCGGGAGUGGCAACACUCGGUAGGGGAGUACUCUCAAGCAGAUACGCGGUGUACCGACAAGGAGCACUAACGGGCUUGAGAGGAGCUUAUGCAGGCAUGAGUAGCGAUAAACCGGGUCAAAAACCCGGUCGCCGUAAGCCCAAGGUUUCCUGGGGAAGGAUAAGCCUCCCAAGGGUUAGUCGGGUCCUAAGCCGAGGCCGGAAGGCGUAGGUGAUGGCAAGCUGGUUAAUAUUCCAGCACCGAGUGGGCGUUUUAGCAGAGCAGGGACGGAGAAGGAUAGGUCGGUCCACCCGUUGGUCGUGGUGGUUCAAGCCCGUAGGUGGCACCCGUAGGACCCGAUAGGGACAAACGCGGGGGCAACGCCGAGAGGUGAUGAGGUUUCUCUUCGGAGAUCCAACCCGAUGAUUCCAGGCUCCCGAGAAAAGCUGCGCUGUGUGACGCUUGUUCGCCCGUACCGCAAACCGACUCAGGUGGGCGGGAUGAAUAUUCCAAGGCGCGUGAGAGAACCCUGGUUAAGGAACUCGGCAAACUGACCCCGUAACUUCGGGAGAAGGGGUGCCUGCUGGCGUCAAUGGACUUGCUCCAUGAAGCGUCGGCGGGUCGCAGUGAAACGGCGGUUGCGACUGUUUACCAAAAACACAGGACUCUGCGAACUCGUAAGAGGACGUAUAGGGUCUGACGCCUGCCCGGUGCCGGAAGGUUAAGGGGAGCUGUCAGCGAAAGCGAAGCAGCGAACCGAAGCCCCGGUAAACGGCGGCCGUAACUAUAACGGUCCUAAGGUAGCGAAAUUCCUUGUCGGG
rnacentral:rRNA from 1 species